GAUGAACGCUGGCGGCGUGCCUAAUACAUGCAAGUCGAGCGAACGGACGAGAAGAUUGCUUCUCUGAUGUUAGCGGCGGACGGGUGAGUAACACGUGGAUAACCUACCUAUAAGACUGGGAUAACUUCGGGAAACCGGAGCUAAUACCGGAUAAUAUUUUGAACCGCAUGGUUCAAAAGUGAAAGACGGUCUUGCUGUCACUUAUAGAUGGAUCCGCGCUGCAUUAGCUAGUUGGUAAGGUAACGGCUUACCAAGGCAACGAUGCAUAGCCGACCUGAGAGGGUGAUCGGCCACACUGGAACUGAGACACGGUCCAGACUCCUACGGGAGGCAGCAGUAGGGAAUAUUCCGCAAUGGGCGAAAGCCUGACGGAGCAACGCCGCGUGAGUGAUGAAGGUCUUCGGAUCGUAAAACUCUGUUAUUAGGGAAGAACAUAUGUGUAAGUAACUGUGCACAUCUUGACGGUACCUAAUCAGAAAGCAACGGCUAACUACGUG
rnacentral:rRNA from 1 species